rnacentral:rRNA from 1 species
GAUCCUGGCUCAGGAUGAACGCUGGCGGCGUGCUUAACACAUGCAAGUCGAACGGGAAUUACUUUAUUGAAACUUCGGUCGAUUUAAUUUAAUUCUAGUGGCGGACGGGUGAGUAACGCGUGGGUAACCUGCCUUAUACAGGGGGAUAACAGUCAGAAAUGGCUGCUAAUACCGCAUAACGCGCACAGAGCUGCAUGGCUCAGUAGUGAAAAACUCCGGUGGUAUAAGAUGGACCCGCGUUGGAUUAG